rnacentral:rRNA from 1 species
UUUUAUUUGAGAGUUUGAUCCUGGCUCAGGAUGAACGCUGGCGGCGUGCCUAACACAUGCAAGUUGAGCGAUUUACUUCGGUAAAGAGCGGCGGACGGGUGAGUAACGCGUGGGUAACCUACCCUGUACACACGGAUAACAUACCGAAAGGUAUGCUAAUACGGGAUAAUAUAUUUGAGAGGCAUCUCUUGAAUAUCAAAGGUGAGCCAGUACAGGAUGGACCCGCGUCUGAUUAGCUAGUUGGUAAGGUAACGGCUUACCAAGGCGACGAUCAGUAGCCGACCUGAGAGGGUGAUCGGCCACAUUGGAACUGAGACACGGUCCAAACUCCUACGGGAGGCAGCAGUGGGGAAUAUUGCACAAUG